UCCUCACCAGAUUCAGCUACACCCCAAAUUGCCUCAUCACUAUCCUCUGAUCAUAUAAUGACAGAACACACAUCCUCCAAAGCACCCUCAUUUGACAGCAAAGAAAUUCCAUGACAUAACAUAUACAUUGUACACAUCUUCUCUUACUACCUCCCAUCAGCACCAGCAUUGACUUCAAGGCUGGAAAGUUACUGUAGAUUAGGGUGGUUUUCUCUGAUCUGAAUCUCGAGCCUUCUGAUCAUCUCCUCAUCAGCACCAUUAUAAACAACCCCUAAACGCUUCGCCAAUCUCCAAGUCUGCCUUGCUCUAGAACUUAUGCCUUCACCGCCUGAAUCUUCAUCUGACCAAGCAUGAACCUCUUCCUCCACCCGCUGCUUUUUCGGCUUGUUUUUACUACCCUUUGGUCUACCUCUUUUUGCACGACUUUUCCCAUCUAAUUUUCUGCCCCGAGUACCGCCUGGAAUCCCUCCUUUAUUGCGCCCCCUUCGUUGCUUCACAGCAGCUAAAAUUGCGUCAUCAGAAUAAACCCUUUCUUCAAACUCUGUUUCAACAUGAUCCUCUAUCCCAGUCUCAAACUUGCAAUUCUUCGCAGGAAUGGGCUCUUCAAAAUUAAUUUGGGACGCCCCCAUCUUCUGACCCACUGUUAUUUUUAAUGUUUCUGACCCACCAACAUUAAGCCUCGCCAAAGCUUUUAAAUUUUAGCACAAAUUAUUUUGAUUGGUUUAUUUUGCCAACCCAUGUUGACUUAUUUCAUGAGGCUUCAACUAUAAAUAACACAUAAAGUUUAGCGUUCAAAACAUUAAUCCUUCUUUCUCCAACCGUCUGCGUUUUUAGUUUUGUAUUUCUAUAUAAUUUUUACCUCAUCUUUCUCACAAUUUUUGUUGUUGUUCUGAAUUAUUUGCUUCUCCCUGCAUUAGAUUUCGUACUCAACAAAGGUUAUCAUGAAUGCGGAAAUCCCCUAAAGAGGAGCAAAAUCUGAAAUCUCUACACACCGGGAUGUUUGUUGAAGUAUAUUGAACUGAAGAAGAUUGGAUUUUUUACAACUCUGCUUCUCUCAUGUUAUGGUUGUUGAAAGUGUGAAAGAUAUUAUGUUGACGGGUCUUAGAUGAAGUGAGAUAACAGUUCCCUCCAUUGUUAGUCGUUGCAAACAGAUUUUGCUCUUGGCUUUUAAGAAAAUUGGCUAUGCCUUCUAGAAUUGAUUGUUAGGAAAACCGGGAUAAUUUCCAGGAAAUUUCAAAGCCCAAAUUCAAUUGUCUUUUAUUUGGUUAUCAACACACAUUCUGCAUGUGCUUCAGUUUCCUCUUUACAAGAAAAGCUCCAGGGACAAAGAUAGUGCACUGGCGGAAAAUAUUGUGACUAUUGUUCAUGAUGGAAUAGAAAGGAGGAACUCAAAUUUUCCAGAGUUACCAAAAUUAGAAACAACAUACAAAAUUUUCAGUGUAUUCUAAUAAGUGAAAAUAAGGCUCUUAUGCCACUACUACAUGCUUCUGACCUUAUGUUUAGAAAUUUCUCUCGAAGAACCACACCAUUUUGCCUUGGUUGAGACAAAUGGACACCUAGACAGUGAAAAUAUAAUCAGUGUUGGUUUUUUUAUUGAUUAUAUAUUAUUGUUCUUUUCAUU